CUUGCACUGAUUUCACAAUGAAGCGAGUGGCGAACUGGUGAGUAACACGUGGGAAUCUGCCCAGAAGCAGGGGAUAACACUUGGAAACAGGUGCUAAUACCGUAUAACAACAAAAUCCGCAUGGAUUUUGUUUGAAAGGUGGCUUCGGCUAUCACUUCUGGAUGAUCCCGCGGCGUAUUAGUUAGUUGGUGAGGUAAAGGCCCACCAAGACGAUGAUACGUAGCCGACCUGAGAGGGUAAUCGGCCACAUUGGGACUGAGACACGGCCCAAACUCCUACGGGAGGCAGCAGUAGGGAAUCUUCCACAAUGGACGAAAGUCUGAUGGAGCAAUGCCGCGUGAGUGAAGAAGGGUUUCGGCUCGUAAAACUCUGUUGUUAAAGAAGAACACCUUUGAGAGUAACUGUUCAAGGGUUGACGGUAUUUAACCAGAAAGCCACGGCUAACUACGUGCCAGCAGCCGCGGUAAUACGUAGGUGGCAAGCGUUGUCCGGAUUUAUUGGGCGUAAAGCGAGCGCAGGCGGUUUUUUAAGUCUGAUGUGAAAGCCUUCGGCUUAACCGGAGAAGUGCAUCGGAAACUGGGAGACUUGAGUGCAGAAGAGGACAGUGGAACUCCAUGUGUAGCGGUGGAAUGCGUAGAUAUAUGGAAGAACACCAGUGGCGAAGGCGGCUGUCUAGUCUGUAACUGACGCUGAGGCUCGAAAGCAUGGGUAGCGAACAGGAUUAGAUACCCUGGUAGUCCAUGCCGUAAACGAUGAGUGCUAAGUGUUGGAGGGUUUCCGCCCUUCAGUGCUGCAGCUAACGCAUUAAGCACUCCGCCUGGGGAGUACGACCGCAAGGUUGAAACUCAAAGGAAUUGACGGGGGCCCGCACAAGCGGUGGAGCAUGUGGUUUAAUUCGAAGCUACGCGAAGAACCUUACCAGGUCUUGACAUCUUCUGCCAAUCUUAGAGAUAAGACGUUCCCUUCGGGGACAGAAUGACAGGUGGUGCAUGGUUGUCGUCAGCUCGUGUCGUGAGAUGUUGGGUUAAGUCCCGCAACGAGCGCAACCCUUAUUAUCAGUUGCCAGCAUUCAGUUGGGCACUCUGGUGAGACUGCCGGUGACAAACCGGAGGAAGGUGGGGAUGACGUCAAAUCAUCAUGCCCCUUAUGACCUGGGCUACGUGCUACAAUGGACGGUACAACGAGUCGCAAAU
rnacentral:rRNA from 1 species